rnacentral:rRNA from 1 species
AGUGAACGCUGGCGGUAGGCCUAACACAUGCAAGUCGAACGGCAGCACAGUAAGAGCUUGCUCUUACGGGUGGCGAGUCGCGGACGGGUGAGGAAUACAUCGGAAUCUACUUUUUCGUGGGGGAUAACGUAGGGAAACUUACGCUAAUACCGCAUACGACCUACGGGUGAAAGCAGGGGAUCUUCGGACCUUGCGCGAUUGAAUGAGCCGAUGUCGGAUUAGCUAGUUGGCGGGGUAAAGGCCCACCAAGGCGACGAUCCGUAGCUGGUCUGAGAGGAUGAUCAGCCACACUGGAACUGAGACACGGUCCAGACUCCUAAGGGAGGCAGCAGUGGGGAAUAUUAGACAAUGGGCGCAAGCCUGAUCCAGCCAUACCGCGUGGGUGAAGAAGGCCUUCGGGUUGUAAAGCCCUUUUGUUGGGAAAGAAAAGCAGCAGGUUAAUACCCCGCUGUUCUGACGGUACCCAAAGAAUAAGCACCGGCUAACUUCGUG